UGGCCUUUUUGAUGCAGGAGUGAUGAAA
rnacentral:piRNA from 1 species